UACGGAGGGGGCGAGCGUUAUUCGGAAUUAUUGGGCGUAAAGGGCGCGUAGGCGGCUGUACAAGUCAAAGGUGAAAUCCCUCGGCUCAACUGAGGAACUGCCUUUGAAACUGUACGGCUUGAGUCCGGGAGGGGGUAGCGGAAUUCCCAGUGUAGCGGUGAAAUGCGUAGAUACUGGGAGGAACACCAGUGGCGAAGGCAGCUACCUGGACCGGAUCUGACGCUGAGGCGCGAAAGCGUGGGUAGCAAACAGG
rnacentral:rRNA from 1 species